ACAUUUGGAGCAAUCAAUGUCCUUAACUUUGCUAAGAAAUGUGUGAAACCAAAAUUGCUUCUCCAUGUGUCAACUGGUGAAUCAUCAUUUUAACUUUUAACAACAAAAUAGAUUGAUAAUCAUAUAUUCCUUCCGUUUCACAAUAUAAGUUGUUUUAGAUAAAAGCACGUAGAUUAAGAACAUUUACUUUUAAAAAGUUCAACCAAUAAAAAAAAAGACUGCAUAAUAUAAUUAAUCAUAAAAUAUUAAAAUAUUAUAUAAUUUGCAUAGAAACUUGAAAACAACUUAUAUUGUGAAACAAAAAAUUUUAUCUAAAACAACUUAUAUUAUGAAACGGAGGGAGUAUUUAUCUACAUUCGUUAUAAUUAUUUUUUACUUUAUAAAUAUACUUGUUUUCUGUUCUAGUUUAUGUUUGUGGGGAAAGACCGGGACACAUAGUAGAGAAACAUUUUGCAAUGGGAGAGAGCCUUAACGGUAAAAACAAAGUAGACAUUAAUACCGAAAGGCGAUUGGCAGAUCAGAAAUCAAAACAAUUCAAAGAACAAGGUUGUUCCGAGGAAGAAACUGAACAAGCCAUGAAAGAUUUCGGAUUAAAAAGGUUGUUAUACAAUAUCA
rnacentral:sRNA from 1 species